ACACAGGUGACACAGGUGACACACAGGUGUGACACAGGUGUGACACAGGUGUGACACAGGUGUGACAGGUGUGACACAGGUGUGACAGGUGUACAUUUCCCAGCUGAUGGAGCUGAUCGAGCGCGUGGAGCACCGGGUG